rnacentral:rRNA from 1 species
UACGUAGGUGGCAAGCGUUGUCCGGAAUUAUUGGGCGUAAAGCGCGCGCAGGCGGUCGUUCAAGUCGAGUGUGAAAGCCCCCGGCUCAACUGGGGAGGGUCAUUCGAUACUGAUCGACUCGAAGGCAGGAGAGGGAAGUGGAAUUCCCGGUGUAGUGGUGAAAUGCGUAGAUAUCGGGAGGAACACCAGUGGCGAAGGCGACUUCCUGGCCUGUUCUUGACGCUGAGGCGCGAAAGCUAGGGGAGCAAACGGG